rnacentral:rRNA from 1 species
UGAAGCGAAAGCGGAACGACCUUCGGGAGCCGUGACAGGUGCUGCAUGGCUGUCGUCAGCUCGUGUCGUGAGAUGUUCGGUUAAGUCCGCAAACGAGCGCAACCCCUGCUGCCAGUUACAGGUGUCUGGCGGGACUGCCCGUGAGAAACGGGAGGAAGGUGGGGAUGACGUCAAGUCAGCAUGGCCUUUAUAUCCAGGGCUACACACACGCUACAAUGGGUGGCACAAUGGGUCGCGAAGCCGCGAGGUGGAGCCAAUCCCGAAAGCCAUUCGUAGUUCGGAUUGCAGGCUGCAACCCGCCUGCAUGAAGUCGGAGUUGCUAGUAACCGCGCGUCAGCCAUAGUGCGGUGAAUACGUUCCCGGGCCUUGUACACACCGCCCGUCAAGCCAUGGAAGCUGGGGGCACCCGAAGUCCGUGACCCGACCCGUGAGGGAGGGAGCGGCCGAAGGUGAACUCAGUGACUGGGGCUAAGUCGUAACAAGGUAGCCGUACCGGAAGG